rnacentral:tRNA from 3 species
GACCCGUUAGUCAAGCGGUUUAAGACACCGCCCUUUCACGGCGGUGACAUGGGUUCGAGUCCCAUACGGGUCA